rnacentral:lncRNA from 1 species
AUUACAAAUAAGUCCUAUGAUUUUUGGUAUCAUCAAAACAAGGGUUAGGAUAUUCCACAAGGUUCCCAACAGAACAUAAGUUCGAAAAUAAGUUUGGAGGGAUGAUGAUAUGUGUCACUACUCACAGAAACACAUGCUCCAUGGUGGUGGUAUGAACAAGGCGCGAGUUCAACAUCUUCCAAGGUCAACACUGCACUAAAAACCCCAAAACAAAGAAAACAAAGAAAACAAAGAAACAAAAGAAACAAAACGAAACUAAAAGAAAGAAAAACA